CAAGCAUGGUCGAAAGCUUCCACACGCUCAAAGUAAAAUAUCUUGGAUUUUUUGCUUUACAAACAGAAAACAACUUCAUUUGAGGACUGCUAGAUGAAUUAAUAUUAUCCUGUGUUUCACAAUCAGAAUCAGUUGCCGGAGAUAUCUUAAAUGAACUUGUAACAUUAGCUAUUUGCGGCAUGGAAGUGAAACAACACGAUGGGAACAUGGUUUUGAAAAAACCCAGUUGCUCCGUGGAAAAGAAAAUAUCCAUGGUUAAUUUUGAAUAAAAAAUGUCUUAUGAAGUCAUGUUGUAGUGUGUGUCAGGCACACCUCUCUUACACUUGUUAUUUGAAAUGAAUACCCUGGAUCUUAAAAAUAUGGUGGGUAUCGAAAAGUAUAGAUAACCACUUGAAAUUGGAAAUACCCACUUAGUUUAAAUAGUAUGGGUAUCAUACCCACAUGGCCAUAGGUUUUUCUGGCUCUCUGUGAACAACUGAGCCUUGUCAGAAUGUCUGUCUUUCUAAACAUUAGGCCUCAAUCAGUUAUCCAGAAUCAGUUAUCCAGUGUAUGGCAUCUCCAUUCUAACAUUACAUUCCCAUGACACAUUGACCACCAUAGCUUUGUUUUUGGGGCUACUUUGGAUGACAUGAUGCUAGAAAUAGAUGUCCAGUCAAAUUAAUCUGUUCAUCCAUGAGUUACACAACCAGAUGUAUUGUCAGUCUUGUUGCCACAUACACACCUGUCGUGUCUUGUUGCCAAAGGUCUUUCAUCCUCUUUGUACUCCAGCUAAGAAAUCUUUAAACAAUUUGUGCAAGUACAAGUUUCAGUACAAGAGGGGCAGCCUAGUGGUUAUAGCCUUCACUCAAGCUGACGACCCGGGUUCCAGUCCCCACAUUGGUACAAUAUGUGAAGCCCAUGUCUGGUGUCCCCAGACGUGAUAUUGCUGAAAUAGUGCCUAAGCGGCAUAAAAUGUAACUCACUCCAGUACAAGAUUUAACUUGCAUUUUGCAACCGGCCUGUAAAACAUAACAACCCUCUAUUGCUGCUGUUGUAGUAGGCAACUCUUAUUGUCAAAUAAUAUAGCUUGUCAAUGAUGUUUAUCCAUCCCAUAGCGUUUUGAAGUUGAUGAAACCACUUCACAUGCACUACCAUCUGAGACAGCUAUAAGAUACAAUUUGUAAUGGCUGCUGCUAUUGUUGGAAUCCUUUUUCAUUGUUUGGUUAUCUUGGCUAUUUUGUAUUUAGCGUAUCAUCCCAUAGUGUUUUUUGAUGACUUCACAUGCACUACCUUCUCAGACAUCUACAAAACUCCUUCAUAAUACAAAGUGCAUUGUUCAAAGCUAUUCAGUGUUGGGAGUCUUGGUCAUAUUGUGUGUAGUGUAUUGCCUAAAUAGCCCCUUGAGACCCAUUUCAGAUGAUGUUUGAUACUGCAUUUUCACAUUGUUGCUCUAGUCAGAGCUUAUGGUGGUUAAAUGUAUUGUUUGCAUCUUUGGUUUAUUGAAGUUAUUGUCAGUUUUCAAGAUAUAGCUUGUCAAUGAUGUUUAUCCAUCCCAUAGCGUUUUGAAGUUGAUGAAACCACUUCACAUGCACUACCAUCUGAGACAGCUAUAGAAAACGUUCAUAAUACAAAGUGUAAUGGCUGCUGCUGCCAUUGUUCAAGCUAUCUAUUCAGUGUUGGGGUGUCUUGGUUAUUUUGUCUGUCUAAAUAGCUCCUUGAGAACCAUUUCAGAGGGUGUGGGGGUUAGCCUAGUGGCAUAGGCAUUCGUUCGCCAUGCCAAAGACCCGGGUUCGAUUCCGUAGGUUUUUGUGAUGUGUGAUGCCCAUUUGUGGUUUCCUGCGCAGUGAUAUUGCCGGAAUAUUGCUAAAAGUGACGUAAAAUCUCACUUGCCCAUUCCUAAUUGUGUUUGAUACUGCAUUUUCACAUUAUUGCUCAGGUCCGGAGUUAUGGUAGCUGAAUUGUUGAUAUUUGCAUCUCUACUUUAUUGAAGUUGUCACUUUUCAAGAUAUAGCUUGUCAAUGAUGUUUAUCCAUCCCAUAGCGUUUUGAAGUUGAUGAAACCACUUCACAUGCACUACCAUCUGAGACAGCUGUAGAA